AACAAACGCUGGCGGCGUGCCUAAUACAUGCAAGUCGAACGGGGAAAGCUUUCGGGUGAGUACUAGUGGCGCACGGGUGAGGAACGCGUGGAUAAUCUGCCUUGGAGUGGGGGAUAACUAGUCGAAAGAUUAGCUAAUACCGCAUAAGACCACAGGAGCUGCGGCUCUAGGGGUCAAAGGUUUUUCGUUCCAAGAUGAGUCCGCGUAAGAUUAGCUAGUUGGUGAGGUAAUGGCUCACCAAGGCGACGAUCUUUAACUGGUCUGAGAGGAUGAUCAGUCACACUGGAACUGAGACACGGUCCAGACUCCUACGGGAGGCAGCAGUAGGGAAUAUCGCACAAUGGGGAAACCCUGAUGCAGCGACGCCGCGUGAGUGAUGAAGGCCUUCGGGUCGUAAAGCUCUGUCGCAGGGGAAUAACAAAAUGAAGGUACCCUGUAAGAAAGGAUCGGCUAACUUCGUGCCAGCCGCCGCAGUAACAC
rnacentral:rRNA from 1 species